CCAAUUCUUAAUUUAGAAAGAAAGGGUUGACUUAGGUGAAAGUUAUUUUCCUAGUUCAAUUUAGAACAUUGGUAAAGUGAGGUGGAGUCUAAUUGAAUUUCUUUUACAAUUAAAAUGAGAAUUGCAUAAAUGAGAGGGGCAAUUUUUAAGUAUAAAUUUACACUUUUUGAAGAUGAAAACCUAAUUUGAGCCCAUUUUUUAUUUAUAAUUUGUAAAAUUAUUUAGAAUAUAGAUGGCAUCGGAGCGGAUUGAGGACAGGUUUGGGGUAUCCGAUCCUCGUCCACUGAUAGUGCCAGGUUUCCCUGUCCCCACCUUUGGAAGCCAAACAGACAUAAUUUUCAUACCAUCUCCGUCAUAUCACGGAUUUUGAUUUUCCUGCAGGUCUCCCAUAUUCGUCAAUAUCUUAAAAAAAACAAAAUUUGGUGGAGUUAAUAAUUACAGAGUACCAAAAAUAGACAUGUUCUUCACUCAAAUACAGUAUCAGAAUACUAACUUCAAAAGAUAAUCAUACAUCCCAGUAAUACAAUAAAGUUACCAAAACAAAGAAUUUCCAUAAACUAAAAUCUGAACACAAACAAUUGAAGUACAACUAUCACAAAACUAAAAAACAAAAGUCAAAAUACUGAUUUCUGAAUCGCUAGAGUCCGAAGCUUAUUUCUGAAACGCCGGCGUCCGAAGCUAAUUUCUAGAAUCUGAGUGAGGAAAAUGAAGAUAAAGAAUGGAGGAUUUGAUGUGGAAACAACGAAAGAGAAUCAAAGAUCAAGAGUUUGACGGCAAAAAAAACUAUGAGUAUCCAACAAGGGAUAGAAAGAGAAUUUAGAAUUAAGGGAUAUGAAGGGAUUCAAAGUGGCUAGGGUUUUGGUGCUGUGAACUAAGCUUUUCAAUUAUUAUAUAUGAGCAUACAACUACACCGUUUCGAUACAGAUCCCAAACGGGUGGGUUUUGGGGCGGAUAUCGCUCAAUCCGACCCCACCCACUACCCGCUAACCACGGGUUUCGGAUUCCCUCCGCCCGUUGACACGCUUUGUUGACCGAUUAAACCCAUCCAAAUCCGAUGUAAAUCGACAGGUAUCUGUCGCCGAAUUUUGAAAUGUCUAGCCUAAUUUAGGAAUUCGGCUGAAAUCCUGUUACAGUCUUGGAAGGAGGGAGUCUUUAAAUCAUAAAAAUAUUAUUUGAAACUUGAAUCCCUUCUGGAUCAGUUUCGGUGUUAAAAUUCAACUCAUAUAUUCAAAUUUUCAAGCACUCGAGCCAAAUUCUCGUGACCCGUCUUAAAAAUAUACCAAAUUAUCAUAGACGAUAUGAACCCACAGAUAAAGUUUGAUCUACACCGAACCCAAACAAAAGCGGUAUUUGAUAGGUUGAAACUUAAGUAUACAUUCAAGUGGUAAAAUAAAGAGCAAUGAGUUCAGACAUUUUUAGAAUGAGAGAUUUUGAGGUCCAUUAUUGUUGCACUAACCAUGUUUUCCGUGGUUGGACAACAAUUGGCAGAAAUUUGAUGGAGGCUCAAGCCCAUCCGAGGCCAUAAUACCCGGAUUGACAUCUCAUACACUCAUAGGAUGCGGAGCGAUUGAGGGCACAUCAAAUGACGAGUUCCAGCAACGGGAUAACCUAGUUUACACCUAGUACAUCAUCAACAACUUCGAUUGCAACCUAGUGAUAGAUGGUGGGAGGUGCACCAACGUAGUAAGUGUCCUACUCGUGGAAAGUAUGGGGUUGCCCACCAACACCAAUUUGAAACCUUACAAGCUUGAAUGGCCCAAUAAUGAGAGCGAAUUAAAGUGUCGAGGCAGGUAUUACUCCCUUUUAGUAUCUGUAAAUAUUCUGACGAAGUGAUGUGUGAUGUAGUAUCAAUGGACGAAGAUCAUGUCCUACUCGGAUGACCAUGUCAAUUUGAUCAACACAUUAUCUUCUAUGGGAGACCCAACAUAUCUUUUGGAAUGAAGAAAGAAACGAACGAAACGAGAGAAGAAAGAAAGGGAAAUCAAAAUCAGAGAGGAGACAGAACAAUAAGUGAUACCCCAUGUGCAAAAACAGAAUAGGACAUAAAGAUCUCAAUGAGAGGAGAGAAACCCUUAUAACGAGAGAAUGCAAGGUCAAACAAGACAUUUCCGGAAGAAAAAGGAAAUCCCUAAGUAAUUAACUAGAAUGAGUGUCUAAACUCUACUAACGUAACUAAUUCUCUUCCUUCUGGUGUCAUUUCUGUUUUGCAAGAUUUCAAGGAUGUGUUUUCCAACAAUAUAGCCCCGAGGUUGCCACCAAUUUAGGGCAUAGAGCACCAAAUUUGACUUUAUGCCUGGUGCAUCCAUUCCCAACAAGGCCGCGUACCGGAAAAAUUGGAAGGGGAUAAAGGAGCUGCAAAAGUUAAUUGGAACAGCUGAUAGACAAGAAAUAUGGUCGAGAGAGAAUGAGUCCUUAUGUCGUACCAGUCAUUCUCGUCCCAAAGAAAGAUGAAACAUGGAGAAUGUGUUUCGACUGCUGAGCUGUCAACAAUAUCACCGUUAAGUAUCGACAUCACAUCCCUCCCUUAGAUGAUAUGCUUGUUGAAUGACAGAAGGCAUCUAUUUUCUCAAAAGUUGAUCUUAAAUAAGGAUAUCACCAGAUUUGAAUGAAGGAAGGAUAUGAAUGGGAAACCACUUUUAAAACUAAAUAUGAAUUAUAUGAAUGGAUAGUGAUGCCAUUUGAUGUAACGACUGCUCCUAGUACUUUGAUGAGAUUAAUGAAUCCUGUUCUUAGAGCCUUUACAAGGACUUUGAUUAUAUCUUAUUCUAUUUGUCUAGUCUAGAAGAUUACGGAAGACACCUUAAAAUGUUAGGAAGGAAUUCUUUUUUGUUAAUAUUAAGAAGUGCACUUUUUGCAUUGAUCACCUAUGUUAUGAGUUCUACAGGAAUAUGAAGGAUAAAGAAAAGAUCGAAGCCAUUAAAUCAUGGCCAGUCCCUACAGGCAUCACCAAAGUCCAAAUCUUCCAUGGAUUUGGGAGUUUCUAUUGAAGAUUUGUCAAGGACUUUAGCACGCGUGUAGUCAAGAAGGACGUUCCCUUCCAUUGGCGGAAAGCACAACAAAAGGCGUUAAAUCUACUCAAGAGAAGCUCAUGCACGCACCAGUCCUAACACUCUCAGUUUCAAAAAUACCUUUGGGAUUAUGUGUGACGCAUCUGGGGUUGGAGUUGGGCUGUCGGAGUCCAAGAAAAGAAGUCGAUUGUUGAUCGACCCCUUAGAGGGCAAUCAAGAAAUCCCAAAAUAUUUUGGGGUCAUAUUUCCUGCGGAUCUACUUGCACUUCACUACUCCGGUUUCAGAUUGCUGGUUAGUCAAAUUAAAGGUUGGGAGUUUGUACAAGACUAGAGGGGUAAUGGAUGGAUCUAGAAAGCUAAAUCAACUGUGAGAAGGCCUUGUUCCGGUAAUGAAAGGUUUUGGAUCCUAAUAGUCGAGUUUGUGAAAUCACUGCCUAGAAUCACCUGCAACACUUCCUAACAUUCAAUCUACAAACAAUCAAUUGAGAAUCCAAACUGAAAACCUAGUCACAGGAAAACUGCAGAAUACUAAUAAUCACAUGAAUUGAACCAGAAGGGUAGCAGGAUAGCAAAAUCAAUUAUAAAUAAUCAUGCAUCUAUAAUCCAACACUACAUACAAGUACAAACCUAAAAUCCUCAAGAAUCCACAAGCCCUAACAAGAAGAAAAGACCUAGCUCUCCAUUGAAGAGGAAGAAAAUGCUACCAAUCUACAAUCCAUCGAAGUAGAAAGAGAUCCUAUGUUGGGCUUAGAUUACCUUGGCAUUGAUUAUCCAUCCCCAUUAUGAUCCUAGGCUCCCAAGCUCAUCUUUCUUUGACAAUAUUGUACUUUAGGUCAUCUCCAAGGCUCUCUCUCCUUCUCAAAAUCUGAGUCGGGUAUUUAUAGAAAAAUGCAGAUCUAGGGAGUUGGCAUGGCGUGAGCCUUUGCUUCACAUUCAGAUUUUAGCACGACACUCCAACACGGCGUGCUGCCUUCAUUUUCAAUUUCCUAUAAUUCUGAUCCGACGGCUACCACAGGAGCAGAUGAUUGUGCACGUCGUGUCUUUCUUGAUUACAACCGCUCCCAAAUUUAAUAUUGUGCUCGUAUCACUCUCGUCCAUUACCAAAAU
rnacentral:lncRNA from 1 species